CUGGGUUUAGAACGUCGCGAGACAGUUCGGUCCCUAUCCGCUGCGCGCGUAGGAGACUUGAAAGGGGCUGUCCCUAGUACGAGAGGACCGGGACGGACGAACCUCUGGUGUGCCAGUUGUAUCGCCAGGUGCAUGGCUGGUUGGCUACGUUCGGAAGGGAUAACCGCUGAAAGCAUCUAAGCGGGAAGCUCGCCUUGAGAUGAGGUCUCCCUCCCAGUGAUGGGGUAAGGCUCCCGGUAGAUGAUCGGGUUGAUAGGCCGGAGGUGGAAGCGCGGUAACGUGUGGAGCUGACCGGUACUAAUAGGCCGAGGACUUGACCAC
rnacentral:rRNA from 1 species